rnacentral:rRNA from 1 species
UACGAAGGGGGCUAGCGUUGCUCGGAAUCACUGGGCGUAAAGCGCACGUAGGCGGAUUGCUAAGUCAGGGGUGAAAUCCCGGGGCUCAACCCCGGAACUGCCUUUGAUACUGGUAGUCUCGAGUCCGGAAGAGGUGAGUGGAAUUCCUGGUGUAGCGGUGGAAUGCGCAGAUAUCAGGAGGAACACCAAUAGCGAAGGCAGCUCGCUGGGACGUUACUGACACUGAGGCGCGAAAGCGUGGGGAGCGAACAGG